AUGGCAAAGGAAUUGAAUCUUCAAGCGGACGAGCCGGAGUUGAUGCGCGCUUGAAGGAAAAGCACUAAAGGUAAUGCUCGUUUCAUUGUGGAUGUCGAUCAAGCAAGGAAAUCAAGAACCGAACACAAGUUUUGAAUGCUUUCGCGAUAAUCUUAUCUAGUUCAAACCAUGUUGUUUUGUAAACACUUCUAAACGUUGAAUAUUUUAAUCUAGU
rnacentral:lncRNA from 1 species